rnacentral:lncRNA from 1 species
UUAUGGUUAGCUUUCUUUAUUUUCUUCCACUGCAAGGAUCUAACAAUCUCUUGUUAUAUGUCAACGAUAUUAUCUUCACGGCAUCAUCAACACCACUUCUCAGUUGGAUCAUUUCUGCUUUUUCCUCAGCAUUUGAAAGGCAAGAUGUUCCAUUACUUUCUUGAAAUUUCUGUAAACGUUGGGGAAGGAAUCUUUUUUCAAUAACAAAGUUUUGCUGCAUACAUCUUGUAUUGUAUCGGCAUGACAUAUUAAAUCGUGUCACACG